CUUUUCCAUUAUAGUUUAUUACAAGAUAUUGAACAGAGUUCCCUGUGCUACACACCAGUCUUUGUCUCUUGAUUGGAGCAUUAAUCCAUUUACAUUUAAGACUCUCUACCCCAAGACAAACCUGUGUCACUGCCUCCAUCACUCUACCUGAUCUUCAGCCCAGUAUCCUGAAGGUGAGGCUGGUUGCCAGGGCAACCAGGAGGGCAUUGGUGCUAGCCCAGCUAUGACCCACCCUUCACUCUUAGAUUUGCUGUGCUCUUGUGAAAAAUGUAAACCAUCUGCCAUUCUACCCCU